CAAUAGCGUAUAUUAAAGUUGUUGCAGUUAAAAAGCUCGUAGUUGGAUUUGUGGCGUGCGGUGUGUUCCGGGCACUUGUUGUCUGAGUAACCUGCUGUUGCCAUCCUUGGGUGGAACCUGUGUGGCAUUAGGUUGUCGUGCAGGGGAUGCCCAUCAUUUACUGUGAAAAAAUUAGAGUGUUCAAAGCAGGCUUAUGCCGUUGAAUAUAUUAGCAUGGAAUAAUGAGAUAGGACUUUUUUGCUAUUUUGUUGGUUUGCGCAAGAAGGUAAUGAUUAAUAGGGACAGUUGGGGGUAUUCGUAUUCCAUUGUCAGAGGUGAAAUUCUUGGAUUUUUGGAAGACGAACUACUGCGAAAGCAUUUACCAAGGAUGUUUUCAUUAA
rnacentral:rRNA from 1 species